CCUACGGGGGGCUGCAGUGGGGAAUAUUGGACAAUGGGCGAAAGCCUGAUCCAGCCAUGCCGCGUGUGUGAAGAAGGCCUUCGGGUUGUAAAGCACUUUCAGUGGGGAAGAAAGCCUUGGGGCUAAUACCCUCGAGGAAGGACAUCACCCACAGAAGAAGCACCGGCUAACUCCGUGCCAGCAGCCGCGGUAAUACGGAGGGUGCGAGCGUUAAUCGGAAUUACUGGGCGUAAAGCGCGCGUAGGCGGUCUGAUAAGCCGGUUGUGAAAGCCCCGGGCUCAACCUGGGAACGGCAUCCGGAACUGUCAGGCUAGAGUGCAGGAGAGGAAGGUAGAAUUCCCGGUGUAGCGGUGAAAUGCGUAGAGAUCGGGAGGAAUACCAGUGGCGAAGGCGGCCUUCUGGACUGACACUGACGCUGAUGUGCGAAAGCGUGGGUAGCAAACAGGAUUAGAUACCCUAGUAGUC
rnacentral:rRNA from 1 species